AUACGGAGGAUCCGAGCGUUAUCCGGAUUUAUUGGGUUUAAAGGGAGCGUAGGUGGAUAGUUAAGUCAGUUGUGAAAGUUUGCGGCUCAACCGUAAAAUUGCAGUUGAUACUGGCUGUCUUGAGUACAGUAGAGGUGGGCGGAAUUCGUGGUGUAGCGGUGAAAUGCUUAGAUAUCACGAAGAACUCCGAUUGCGAAGGCAGCUCACUGGACUGCAACUGACACUGAUGCUCGAAAGUGUGGGUAUCAAACAGGAUUAGAUACCCUGGUAGUCCACACAGUAAACGAUGAAUACUCGCUGUUUGCGAUAUACAGUAAGCGGCCAAGCGAAAGCAUUAAGUAUUCCACCUGGGGAGUACGCCGGCAACGGUGAAACUCAAAGGAAUUGACGGGG
rnacentral:rRNA from 1 species